rnacentral:rRNA from 1 species
GGCAGCACGGAGCUUGCUCUGGUGGCGAGUGGCGAACGGGUGAGUAAUAUAUCGGAACGUACCCCUAGAGUGGGGAUAACGUAGCGAAAGUUACGCUAAUACCGCAUACGAUCUAAGGAUGAAAGUGGGGGAUCGCAAGACCUCAUGCUCGUGGAGCGGCCGAUAUCUGAUUAGCUAGUUGGUAGGGUAAAAGUCUACCAAGGCAUCGAUCAGUAGCUGGUCUGAGAGGACGACCAGCCACACUGGAACUGAGACACGGUCCAGACUCCUACGGGAGGCAGCAGUGGGGAAUUUUGGACAAUGGGCGAAAGCCUGAUCCAGCAAUGCCGCGUGAGUGAAGAAGGCCUUCGGGUUGUAAAGCUCUUUUGUCAGGGAAGAAACGGUGAAAGCUAAUAUCUUUUGCUAAUGACGGUACCUGAAGAAUAAGCACCGGCUAACUACGUGCCGGCAGCCGCGGUAAUACGUAGGGUGCAAGCGUUAAUCGGAAUUACUGGGCGUAAAGCGUGCGCAGGCGGUUUUGUAAGUCUGAUGUGAAAUCCCCGGGCUCAACCUGGGAAUUGCAUUGGAGACUGCAAGGCUAGAAUCUGGCAGAGGGGGGUAGAAUUCCACGUGUAGCAGUGAAAUGCGUAGAUAUGUGGAGGAACACCGAUGGCGAAGGCAGCCCCCUGGGUCAAGAUGACGCUCAUGCACGAAAGCGUGGGGAGCAAAC